ACUGUUAUAUAUAUACCGGUAUAUCGCCCGUUGGACUACAGCGUUCGAAGGUCCGCGUCAGAUAGCCCGGCCCUAUCAGCUUGUGUGAGGUAUGCUCACCAAGGACGACGUAGCGCUGAGAGGCGACGCACACUGGACUGAGACCUGCCCAGACUCCUACGGGAGGCAGCAGUGGGGAUAUGCACAUGGCGAAGCUGAUGCAGCGACGCGCGUGAGGAUGACGCUUCGGGUGUAAACCUCUUCAGCAGGGAGAGCGAAAGUGACGGUACCUGCAGAAGAAGCGCCGGCUAACUACGUGCCAGCAGCCGCGGUAAUACGUAGGGCGCGAGCGUGUCCGGGAAUUAUUGGGCGUAAAGAGCUCGUAGGCGGCUUGUCACGUCGGUUGUGAAAGCCCGGGGCUUAACCCCGGGUCUGCAGUCGAUACGGGCAGGCUAGAGUUCGGUAGGGGAGAUCGGAAUUCCUGGUGUAGCGGUGAAAUGCGCAGAUAUCAGGAGGAACACCGGUGGCGAAGGCGGAUCUCUGGGCCGAUACUGACGCUGAGGAGCGAAAGCGUGGGGAGCGAACAGGAUUAGAUACCCUGGUAGUCCACGCCGUAAACGGUGGGCACUAGGUGUGGGCGACAUUCCACGUCGUCCGUGCCGCAGCUAACGCAUUAAGUGCCCCGCCUGGGGAGUACGGCCGCAAGGCUAAAACUCAAAGGAAUUGACGGGGGCCCGCACAAGCGGCGGAGCAUGUGGCUUAAUUCGACGCAACGCGAAGAACCUUACCAAGGCUUGACAUACACCGGAAAGCAUCAGAGAUGGUGCCCCCCUUGUGGUCGGUGUACAGGUGGUGCAUGGCUGUCGUCAGCUCGUGUCGUGAGAUGUUGGGUUAAGUCCCGCAACGAGCGCAACCCUUGUCCCGUGUUGCCAGCAGGCCCUUGUGGUGCUGGGGACUCACGGGAGACCGCCGGGGUCAACUCGGAGGAAGGUGGGGACGACGUCAAGUCAUCAUGCCCCUUAUGUCUUGGGCUGCACACGUGCUACAAUGGCCGGUACAAUGAGCUGCGAUACCGCGAGGUGGAGCGAAUCUCAAAAAGCCGGUCUCAGUUCGGAUUGGGGUCUGCAACUCGACCCCAUGAAGUCGGAGUCGCUAGUAAUCGCAUUUCAGCAUUGCUGCGGUGAAUAAGUUCCCGGGCCUAUACACACCUCCGGUCCCGUCAUAAAGUUUCAUCCCGGCUCGAGUAAGUCGUAACAAGGUAUCCGUAGAUCGGAUCCCAGAAU
rnacentral:rRNA from 1 species